AUGGCAGAAGAAAAAGAAAUAAACUCCUAUCUUAGGAUGGAGGUCACUGGAAUCGAAAGGGGCAGAGCGCAACACGACGUCCAUGGCGGUUUUCACGGCGGGUUCUAUAUACAGAUCGCUGCAACUCCGUGUGCUGUGGGCUUUCCGACGGAGAUGCAGAUCAAGGAGGAGGUGGAAGGCGAUCUCGAUUUCGUGAGCGGCGGAAUCGCGAAUCGCCGGAGGGCGGAGUUGGUCGCGAUUUUCCGGUGA